GAUGAACGCUGGCGGCGUGCCUAAUACAUGCAAGUCGAGCGAACAGAUGAGGAGCUUGCUCCUCUGACGUUAGCGGCGGACGGGUGAGUAACACGUGGAUAACCUACCUAUAAGACUGGGAUAACUUCGGGAAACCGGAGCUAAUACCGGAUAAUAUAUUGAACCGCAUGGUUCAAUAGUGAAAGACGGUUUUGCUGUCACUUAUAGAUGGAUCCGCGCCGCAUUAGCUAGUUGGUAAGGUAACGGCUUACCAAGGCAACGAUGCGUAGCCGACCUUGGAGGGGGGACCGCCAACACGGGAACGAGAACACGUCCCAGACUCCAACGGGAGGCAGCGGUGGGAAACUUCCGGCAAGGGCGGAAAGCCUAACGAGGCAACGCGCGUGGAGUAAGAAAGUUUUCCGAAUCGUAAACCUCUGUUAUAAGGAAAAAAAAAUGGUGAAAGUAACAAGGCACGUUUGAACGGAACCUAAUCAAAAAGCAACGGCUAACUAGGU
rnacentral:rRNA from 1 species